UACGGAGGGGGCUAGCGUUGUUCGGAAUUACUGGGCGUAAAGCGCGCGUAGGCGGACCUGCAAGUCGGGGGUGAAAGCCCGAGGCUCAACCUCGGAACUGCCUUCGAUACUGCGGGUCUCGAGUCCGGGAGAGGUGAGUGGAAUUCCUAGUGUAGAGGUGAAAUUCGUAGAUAUUGGGAGGAACACCAGAGGCGAAGGCGGCCUGCUGGGCUGCACCUGACGCUGAGCCGCGAAAGCCAGGGGAGCGAACGGG
rnacentral:rRNA from 1 species